rnacentral:rRNA from 1 species
UAAUACGUAGGGUGCAAGCGUUGUCCGGAAUUAUUGGGCGUAAAGAGCUCGUAGGCGGUCUGUCGCGUCGGAUGUGAAAACCCAGGGCUCAACCCUGGGCCUGCAUUCGAUACGGGCAGACUAGAGUUCGGUAGGGGAGACUGGAAUUCCUGGUGUAGCGGUGAAAUGCGCAGAUAUCAGGAGGAACACCGGUGGCGAAGGCGGGUCUCUGGGCCGAAACUGACGCUGAGGAGCGAA